rnacentral:rRNA from 1 species
CCUACGGGAGGCAGCAGUGGGGAAUAUUGCACAAUGGGGGAAACCCUGAUGCAGCGACGCCGCGUGAGUGAAGAAGUACUUCGUUAUGUUAAGCUCUAUCAGCAGGGAAGCAAAUGACGGUACCUGAGUAAGAAGGCACGUCUAACUACGUGACGGCAGCCGUGGUACCACGGAGGGGGCAAGCGUUAUCCGGAUUUACUGGGCGUAAAGGGAGCGUAGGCGGUAGUGCAAGUCUGGAGGGAAAGGCGGGGGCUCAACCCCCGGAGUGCUCUGGAAACUGUACGGCUGGAGUGCAGGAGAGGUAAGUGGAAUUCGUAGUGUAGCGGGGAAAUGCGUAGAUAUUAGGAGGAACACCGGUGGCGAAGGCGGCUUACUGGACUGUAACUGACGUUGAGGCUCGAAAGCGUGGGUAGCGAACAGGAUUAGAUACCCCGGUAGUC